CAUAGGACCUAAGUGCUAAUGCUAAGUGCUCACUACUUGUGGCUAGAGAUCCUGAAGAUAGGACUGAUUUAGUAAUCACUCUGCAUGGCAAUGCUGUUCCUGUCUCUGAAAAUGAUAGAGCAGCAGUUCGCAGUACAUAUUUGGCUACGCUUCCAAAUGCAUUUUGGGUUGACUUUGGUGACUUUCAAUUCAUGCGCAUUGAACCAAAAGUUGUACGAUAUGUGUCGGGGGUUGCAACAGCUUUGUUAGGAUCAG